rnacentral:rRNA from 1 species
AGUGAACGCUGGCGGUAGGCCUAACACAUGCAAGUCGAACGGCAGCACAGUAAGAGCUUGCUCUUACGGGUGGCGAGUGGCGGACGGGUGAGGAAUACAUCGGAAUCUACUUUUUCGUGGGGGAUAACGUAGGGAAACUUACGCUAAUACCGCAUACGACCUACGGGUGAAAGUAGGGGAUCUUCGGACCUUGCGCGAUUGAAUGAGCCGAUGUCGGAUUAGCUAGUUGGUGGGGUAAAGGCCCACCAAGGCGACGAUCCGUAGCUGGUCUGAGAGGAUGAUCAGCCACACUGGAACUGAGACACGGUCCAGACUCCUACGGGAGGCAGCAGUGGGGAAUAUUGGACAAUGGGCGCAAGCCUGAUCCAGCCAUACCGCGUGGGUGAAGAAGGCCUUCGGGUUGUAAAGCCCUUUUGUUGGGAAAGAAAAGCAGCAGGUUAAUACCCCGCUGUUCUGACGGUACCCAAAGAAUAAGCACCGGCUAACUUCGUG